UAUGGAUCUGAAGCCUUUUACCUGUGAAAUUUGAAGAAUACAGAGAAGAUUAUCAUGGUUCGUGCGCAAGAAUGACAUGCAAGUUCAGGAAGCGUUUCAAUUUUUU
rnacentral:snRNA from 1 species